CAGUGAUAGGUUCUUUCCAUUGCUCUAUUCUGUUGUUCAUAGAAUUUGCUUCACUUUAAGUCUCUCAGUUAUAAGAUGGAUGGUCCAGUGUGGGAAGAGAUAAACUCUUCCCUGACCAUAGAACCUGUUUUCCCCUUUGAAUGACUGGGUCCACUCAGGUCAAGAGUCACUAGGGUAAGGCUGCUCUGAAGCCUCCGUUUUCUCAGGAUUGGCUGAGAAAUGGGGAUUUGUGUGGCCAGCUGAAUAAAAUCAGGGUUUUUCUAGGCUCAGGUAUAUCUCCUAAGUUUAAAAAAGAAAGAGAUUUAAGAAAAGAAAAUCUUCAAAGCAACAGAAAUGAUAAGUAUUUAUUGUAUAAUCACAUUUACUUAGAGCAAAACAACUCUCACGUGUGUGUGUCUGUCUAUCUGUGCCUAUCGAGGUGUGAGGAAGGAGAAGGAUGGAAGAGGAGGAAAGGGAGGGUGAGGAAACCAGUUCUGUCAAGGGAUGGACCCAACCCGUUGUAGCUGUGUGACCUUGGGCACAAUACUCAGCCUCUCUGGCCUCAGUGUCUUUAACCGUACAAUGAGGAUAACAGUGUCUACCCUAUGGGAUUGCUGUGAUGAUUAAAUGAAAGGCUAUCUGUAAAGCUCAUUGGAGGAUACUCAGCAGAUGUCAAUGCUCUAUAAAGAGCAACUAGAGAAUGUGGCAAGAUACCGCCCAGGUGCAUCAGAGACCUGGUAAGUCAGUAACCACUGAGUCAGGAAGCAGGGAGAGGGUGAAGUCAGACAGGCUCCCCAAGGUUUAGAGGUCUUCAUCCUUUCACUGCAGUAUGGGCAGGCUCAAAGGGACAGAGGUUCCAUGGUCUCCCAAGAGGAAGGAUGAAUCUGGUAACCCUGUUACUUUUGAUUGGACUUUGGAAACCUGCUCUUCAGUAGUGAACUAAAAGGUUGUGAGGCCUGUGCUCCGGAAUCCGCAUAAGGGGUAAGUGUGACCCAGCGCCCUUUCUUGACUGUCCCCUUUCCUUGUUUCACUCCUCUGGUUGCUCAUUUCUGCUUCCUGGGAUCAUUUUCCAAGUAAAGCACUAGCUGGUGAAUUUUAGUCUCAGGGCUCUGAUUGGAGGGAUCCCAAACUAGUACAUUUGGCAUCAAAAGGAACCUUAGAAAACAGAUACUCAAGGUGAGGUUUUACAGCUGGAUCACUCACUGCACAGAUGGAAAUGGGAACACACAUCUGCCUGUGUGUGGAUGGCGCAUGUAGCCCCAUCACAUUAGUACUUUCAUCAGUGGGAGAUUAGGUUAAGAUAUAGUUAGAAAGGAAAGUAACAAGUUGUAUGCUUGUGCUGGCUUUUGAAUUGAAUGGGAAAAAAUGGUCUUUAAAAUUUAGCUUUUGUUAGCUUCUUUGAAAGCUUCAGUUCUAAGCACUCUGAGAUUCAGAGGGUCUUCAAGGCAGUGUUUGUGCACCCCCUUAUCUUCUUCAGGUGCAAGGGUCCAGCGUCUAACUGCUAACAUUGCAGAGCUGAAAAGGGGAAUGAAUGAACACACAGCCUUACCAGGUGUCCUACGUUGACGGCCCUAAGGGGAACUAGUGGAAUCCGAGACCUGAGAUUGGGUGUAUGUAUGUGGACAUGCUCAGAAAGAGGGCUUGUAGAUUCCCCUGAAUUUUCUGGGGCCAACAGAAGUAACAUCCUCCCGCUUUGCAGAGAAGCACAGACUUCUUGCGCUUGCAGACCCCAUGGAGCCCUUGCCCAAGAAGCGCCUCACAGGAUGGCUUUAGACCCACUAUCACCACCCUCACUGCCUCUGACAGUUACAUUCCAAUCUCAGCACAAGCUGAGCAGGCAAACCCAGUCCCUACCUAGGAGGAAUAACUGGGACACAGAAGUAUUUGCCCCUGAGUUACUAUAUUAGCUGGAGUGGAUUUUGGCAGAAGCACAAGAGAACAUGAGACUCCACGGGGGAACUCAUUUGCCCAGCAGCACUAGCCCAGGACUUGGGCUCAACCACCUUCCUUGAACUCCCUGCAGCUAAUCCUAGGACACUCCUUGGAUGGCUCCUUGAAGCUUGAAUAUGAAAGUCAGAUGGAGCUGCCCCACUACUUCAGGAUAUUAUUGGAGAUGGGAUCAAAAACAGAAAGGUAGAAAUGAGGAAUGUGUUUAUAAGCCCCCCUGUCAUCAUUUCAGAAGAGGAGAGAAGCCAGAAGUGGAGUUUUUGAUCAAUGACAGCCCAUUCCAGUAUUCUUGCUUGGGAAAUGUCAUGGACAGAGGAGCCUGGUAUGCUACAGUCCAUGGGGUUGCAAAGAGUCAGAAACAAGUUAUUCUUCAAUGAAGGUAUUCCUAAGAAGGAAAGAGGAGAAGAACUUUACCGGUGCAGAAAAGUUGAACAUUCAGGGGGUAGAACUAGCUUUAAGCUCAGUCCUAUCUCAUUGCUAACAAGUCUUUAUUAAAUGUGCAGCAGCGCUGGCAGCAGCUCUAGGAUGCGGGGCAAGGGUGUGGCUGAGUGCCUUGACUUCAUGCACUUGUUCUCCGUCUUGGCCUUCCUUUCUUCUAUUUCCUCCCUGUGCGUCAUUUCCCUGUUUACGUGUGUAAGUCUGUGCAACAGGUAUUCACUGGGGAGUUUUCGGUCCCAUCAAGGU
ensembl:lncRNA